GACGAACGCUGGCGGCGUGCUUAACACAUGCAAGUCGAACGGUAAGGCCCUUCGGGGUACACGAGUGGCGAACGGGUGAGUAACACGUGGGUGAUCUGCCCUGCACUUCGGGAUAAGCCUGGGAAACUGGGUCUAAUACCGGAUAGGACCCUGGGAUGCAUGUCCUGGGGUGGAAAGCUUUUGCGGUGUGGGAUGGGCCCGCGGCCUAUCAGCUUGUUGGUGGGGUGAUGGCCUACCAAGGGGACGACGGGUAGCCGGCCUGGGAGGGUGACCGGCCACACUGGGGCUGAGAUACGGCCCAGACUCCUACGGGAGGCAGCAGUGGGGAAUAUUGGACAAGGGGCGCAAGCCUGAUGCAGCGAGGCCGCGUGAGGGAUGACGGCCUUCGGGUUGUAAACCUCUUGCAGCACCGACGAAGCGCAAGUGACGGUAGGUGCAGAAGAAGGACCGGCCAACUACGUGCCAGCAGCCGCCGUAA
rnacentral:rRNA from 1 species